rnacentral:rRNA from 1 species
GCUUCCACGUGGACAGGCGUUCAUUCUGCCCUCUGGCUUGUUGUGCUUACCCCACACUUGACAGGGAGUUGCCCGUGGUAAGACCCCAAUAUUACACUUGUUAUAUAUACUAUAAUGUCUGAAUAAAUCAUUUCAAAUGAAAUAAAACUUUCAACAACGGAUCUCUAGGCUCUUGCAUCGAUGAAGAACGCAGUGAAAUGCGAUAAGUAAUGUGAAUUGCAGAAUCUCGUGAAUCAUCGAAUCUUUGAACGCACAUUGCGCCCUAUGGUAUUCCGUAGGGCAUGCCUGUCUGAGCGUCAGCUCCCCCCAACUCAAACUUUUGUUAGUUUGGAUUACUUUGAAGGUGUAGCUUGUCAAAGCUGCUUUUCAGAAAUUCAUAGGCAGUAUGGUUAUUCCUAGACCAGACGUACAAAUAAUAAAACCGUCUUUUUGGGAAAGAAUUGUGCAUGCCUCAACCCACCCAUUAUCUUUUUACUUGGGUGACCUCAGAUCAGGUAGGGAUACCCGCUGA